rnacentral:rRNA from 1 species
GAUGAACGCUGGCGGUAUGCCUAACACAUGCAAGUCGAACGGGGUCUUCGGAUCUAGUGGCGGACGGGUGAGUAACGCGUGAGAAUCUGCCUUCAGGAUGGGGACAACAGUUGGAAACGACUGCUAAUACCCGAUAUGCAGCGAUGUGAAAGAUUUAUCGCCUGGAGAUGAGCUCGCGUCUGAUUAGCUAGUUGGUGUGGUAAAGGCGCACCAAGGCGACGAUCAGUAGCUGGUCUGAGAGGAUGAGCAGCCACACUGGGACUGAGACACGGCCCAGACUCCUACGGGAGGCAGCAGUGGGGAAUUUUCCGCAAUGGGCGAAAGCCUGACGGAGCAAUACCGCGUGAGGGAGGAAGGCUCUUGGGUCGUAAACCUCUUUUCUCAGGGAAGAACAAAAUGACGGUACCUGAGGAAUAAGCAUCGGCUAACUCUGUGCCAGCAGCCGCGGUAAUACAGAGGAUGCAAGCGUUAUCCGGAAUGAUUGGGCGUAAAGCGUCCGUAGGUGGUUACGUAAGUCUGUGGUUAAAGCGUGGAGCUCAACUCCAUAAGGGCCAUGGAAACUACAAGACUAGAGUCAAGUAGGGGUAGAGGGAAUUCCCAGUGUAGCGGUGAAAUGCGUAGAGAUUGGGAAGAACACCGGUGGCGAAAGCGCUCUACUGGACUUGUACUGACACUGAGGGACGAAAGCUAGGGGAGCGAAAGGGAUUAGAUACCCCUGUAGUCCUAGCCGUAAACGAUGGAUACUAGGUGUUGCCCG